rnacentral:rRNA from 1 species
AUACGGAGGAUCCGAGCGUUAUCAGGAUUUAUUGGGUUUAAAGGGUGCGCAGGCGGCCAUUUAAGUCAGCGGUUAAAUCGUGGGGCUCAACCCCAUUCUGCCGUUGAUACUGGGUGGCUUGAUUGCGGUCGAGGUUGGCGGAAUUCGUUGUGUAGCGGUGAAAUGCAUAGAUAUGACGAAGAACACCGAUUGCGUAGGCAGCUGACCAGACCGCAAAUGACGCUCAUGCACUAAAGUGCGGGGAUCGAACAGGAUUAGAUACCCUGGUAGUCCGCACAGUAAACGAUGAAUACUUGUUUUCGGCGAUAUAAUGUCGGAGGCAAAGCGAAAACGAUAAGUAUUCCACCUGGGGAGUACGCCGGCAACGGUGAAACUCAAAUGAAUUGACGGGG